AAAAGAAAACAAAGAAAAAAAACACAAGGCGGGAUGUUAGCACGAAAACUGGUUUGACGUUCAGUUAGUUUGAGCCGUUUGCGUUUGGACCCGUUCAAGUCAUUAAAUAAAAAAGAAAUAAAAAGACAAAAUAAUGUAACGCUGGAUGUGAAUGUUUUAAAAAAAACAAAGAAACACGAAGCCAGGUCCAUGAAGCCGCGUUUGAAUAGCUGCUAGUCAGUGAGCUAACAGGCUAACUAACGUCAGAGUGCGCCAUACGACGCGCGAGCGCACUUUUUCUCGUUCGGCUGGAACAAUCGAACCGCAGGCCAACCGACGAGUGUUCCACGCUGCAGCUGACGGGCCGGCCUAACCGACAACAAACCUCCAGCACACGGAGCUGACUUAGCGCAGCCGUGACUUAAUUCACUGAAUAAUACGUUUAAAGAGAGAAAUAUACGGCUGUUUUAAAAGAACAAAGCGGCGAAGUGAGGGGAGAGCUGCGCGUGCCAUUCUUUCCCAGAGAGCUAACGGCUAAGUUAGCUUUGAGUUAGCACAAGAAAACCAACGGCCUGAUCUACAGCCGCUCAACGCUGCACACAGACACAAACUUGACAUAAGCGCUGGCCCGCACUGAGAGGAUGAACACAGACACACUCACCGGUAUCGCCGUUAGGAGAGGAAAGAACUAAAUGGCUGCGUUCGCGGGAGAUUCAGCGUGGACUAUGAGUCAGUUUCCGCCCUUAUCACGUGACCACCGCAGCGGCAGGAACUGAGAGUUUGUGUUCACCUGAGCAGGGCAGAUGGCCUCACACAGCUUACAGGCAAUGCAGCGCUCCUCUCCAUUAGGGUAGCGGCGCAGGGCGUGCUCUCCACG